CAAUAGCGUAUAUUAAAGUUGUUGCAGUUAAAAGCUCGUAGUUGGAUUUCUGGGAGGGUGCCAAUGUCCGUCGUCGUACGUGUUGCAGCGGCGCCCUUCCAUCCUUCUGUUAACGACUUUGGGCAUUCAUUUGCCGGAGUCGGGCUCAGAUAUUUUACCUUGAGAAAAUUAGAGUGUUUCAGGCAGGCUAGGCCGGAAUACAUUAGCAUGGAAUAAUGGAAUAGGACUACGGUCUCUUUGUUGGUUUGAGGGACUGCAGUAAUGAUUAAUAGGGAUAGUUGGGGGCAUUCGUAUGAUGGUGUUAGAGGUGAAAUUCUUGGAUCGCCGUCAGACGAACUACUGCGAAAGCAUUUGCCAAGAAUGUUUUCAUUAAUCAAGAACGAAAGUCAGAGGUUCGAAGAUGAUUAGAU
rnacentral:rRNA from 1 species